GUGAAUCAUCGAAUUUUUGAACGCAAAUUGCACUCUCUUCGGAGAGUAUGCCUGUUUGAGGGUCAGUAUUAAUAAAAAUCGGUGUGUUGCUUCUUUGUGACGCUCCGGAGUUUGGGUCAUCUUAAUAUAAUUUAGGUGUUUUGAGGCUUAUAAUUGACUUUUUUUGCGUUUUUUAGAUGUACAUAAAUUUUUUUUUUUUUUAGUUUGUCUUUAUGGUCAAAAUCCU
rnacentral:misc_RNA from 1 species